AUGCCGCCGUGCGAAGACCUUGAGGUCGUUGCCUAUGAGGCGGAUGACGCGCAGCGUGCCGUCCUCGCCGCCGACGAUCCGCGAGGUCCGUAUGUGCGACGGCCCCCAGACGGUCUCCGGGAAUGCGGCGAGCGAGAACUCCGCGGUGGCCUCGUCAAGGGCAAGAACGGCGGUGGCGCAUCCGUCAAUUCCCCAGUACAGAGUGCCGUUUGCGCGCCCUACGAAAUUUUCGGGGCCGAGCUUUGGGAGCUCGACGUGGCUGGUGAUCUCGCUGUAAAUAAUGCGCCAGCCGCCAUCCCUGCCCGUGGAGAACACACAUGCCAUGGCAUCGUCGACGGCCGCAAGGACCCUGAAGUUGGACGUGCUGACGCGGCGGUCCGCGUCGUCGCCGUCAAGCAGGAACACGCCGAGGCGGCCGGUUCCGUCCAGAUCCUCCGGCCAGAGGAUCCCCUGGUAGAGCCCGGUGAGCGGCUCGCAUACCAUAAGGUCGGGGUAGUGGCGGACACGGCGACUGUAGUCGCGCCAGCUCUGCGGCGCCCUCUUCUUGGUGAGGAGGAGGAGGCUGCCGCGGCUGUCCGCGAUCUCCCACGAUCCGCUCUCCGGGAGGAACUCGAGGAAGAAGCGGCUGCGGUCGACGACGACCGGCGAGGAGGGGACGAAGAGGGGCUCGCCGCCCUGGACGGUGUGGUAGUCGCCGACGUACGGGACCUGCUCGUGGACCGGGCCGAAGCGGGCGAGGAAGCCGGGGUUCCCGACGACGCGGCACCACCGCUUGCAGGCGGCCGCGGCGCGGACGAGGCAUGGCGACGGGCCGAGGCGGAGGAGGAUGAGCUCGAAGAGGUGGUCGGGGAGGUCCUCCACGGUCGUCGGUCCGGCCUCUUUCUUCUUCUUGUUUUUGGCUUCGCUCUUCUUGCCCCGCCGCCGACGACGAGGUCCCUCCGACGACGCCAUAUGCGAAGGGAAGGGGAGUGGCGUCUCUCUCACGCACCGCGCUGA
rnacentral:rRNA from 1 species